AUUGAACGCUGGCGGCAGGCCUAACACAUGCAAGUCGAGCGAGCGGCGGACGGGUGAGUAAUGUCUGGGGAACUGCCCGAUAGAGGGGGAUAACUACUGGAAACGGUAGCUAAUACCGCAUACUAUCGGAUGAACCCAUAUGGGAUUAGCUAGUAGGUGGGGUAAAGGCUCACCUAGGCGACGAUCCCUAGCUGGUCUGAGAGGAUGACCAGCCACACUGGGACUGAUACACGGUCCAGACUCCUACGGGAGGCAGCAGUGGGGAAUAUUGCACAAUGGGCGCAAGCCUGAUGCAGCCAUGCCGCGUGUGUGAAGAAGGCCUUCGGGUUGUAAAGCACUUUCAGCGGGGAGGCGUUACUCGCAGAAGAAGCACCGGCUAACUCCGUGCCAGCAGCCGCGGUAAUAC
rnacentral:rRNA from 1 species